rnacentral:rRNA from 1 species
GACGAACGCUGGCGGCGUGCUUAACACAUGCAAGUCGAGCGGUAAGGCCCUUUCGGGGGUACACGAGCGGCGAACGGGUGAGUAACACGUGGGUGACCUGCCCUCAGCUCUGGGAUAAGCCUGGGAAACUGGGUCUAAUACUGGAUAUGACUCCACGGUGCAUGUCGUGGGGUGGAAAGCCUUGUGCGGCUGAGGAUGGGCCCGCGGCCUAUCAGCUUGUUGGUGGGGUGANGGCCUACCAAGGCGACGACGGGUAGCCGGCCUGAGAGGGCGACCGGCACACUGGGACUGAGACACGGCCCAGACUCCUACGGGAGGCAGCAGUGGGGAAUCUUGCGCAAUGGGCGAAAGCCUGACGCAGCGACGCCGCGUGAGGGAUGAC